GAAGCMUAAGUGGGUGUUGGAUUUCACUGUCAUGACACAGUACAACAAACUCCUCUUGGCAACAGCUGAUCGGGAAAUCCAGUUGUAUGAACUUUGCAACUUUGAGCCAUACUGCCAGAUCAGUGCCUUGGAAGCUGUCCCUUUGAGACUGGACUACUGUUCCACUGCUCACGAUGAGUGUUUGCUUCUCUAYGGAGACGAUCAGGU